rnacentral:rRNA from 1 species
UACAGAGGGUGCAAGCGUUAAUCGGAAUUACUGGGCGUAAAGCGCGCGUAGGCGGGUCUUUAAGUCAGGGGUGAAAUCCUGGAGCUCAACUCCAGAACUGCCUUUGAUACUGAGGAUCUUGAGUACGGGAGAGGUGAGUGGAACUGCGAGUGUAGAGGUGAAAUUCGUAGAUAUCGGGAAGAACACCCGUGGCGAAGGCGGCUCUCUGGGACGGCACUGACGCUGAGACGCGAAAGCGUGGGGAGCGAACAGG